rnacentral:snRNA from 1 species
ACUGCUUCUCAGCCUUUUGGCUAAGAUCAAGUAUAGGUAUGUGUUCUUAUCAGUUUAAUAUCUGAUACACACUCUAUUCAAAGAUAAUGUAUCAAUGGAUUUCUGGAGCAGGGAGAUGUAAUAGGAGCUUGUUCCACCCACUCCACACAGCAACCUAGCAUAGCAGUACCUCCAGGACUGCUAUACCAAUC